CUGAACAAAGCGAUUUUCUCUAGUUCGUAUUACCCUUGAUUACGAUUAACCCCUAUUAUUUUUUUGAUUGUUCCUAAGCUUAAUAAGUACUUAACUUUUUAGCCAAACAAUUUUGACGCCGUCAGUGGGGAUUUCGUGAAUCAAAGUUGUAGUUUGCUUCUAGAGAUCCUUCAAAAAACCACCUUCUACAACCUAGAAUGGCUGAAAACAACGCAAGAAUAAAAGCUGUCAUGGAUGCUAGAGCCGAUCUUAUGGGCCCUUUCAACGCGGCUAUUGAAGGGGAUGCUCCACAUACAACCCCUAGUACCCUGGUAAGCGUGGAAAACCUACCUUCCCCUUUUGAAGAUCUGGCGGUUCCACGGGGAAACGCGGCUACUGAAGGGGAUGAUCCACACGCAACCCCUAGUACCAUGGUAAGCGUGGAAAACCUACCUUCCCCUUUUGAAGAUCUGGUGGUUCUAUGGGAAAAAGAGGCCUCUACAUCUACAACCAAAGAAGC
rnacentral:lncRNA from 1 species